rnacentral:lncRNA from 1 species
CCACCGCCGGGAAGGCAGCGGGCGCCGGGCAAGUUGCGAGCGAGCGCGCCCCUCGCCCGGGGAAAGUUUCCCCCGCGGCCGCCGGCGGGAGUUGGCACGGGGUCCGGCCGCUGCCGCUGGAAGAGUUUACGGAAGCCGCCGGUGGAAAGAGACCUCGAGGCGUCUUUCNACCCAGGUGUGGACCGCCCUUCUGGAGCUCCCUCCACAGUGUGUGCUGCUCUCCAGAUGGUCUUGAUGGGCCCUUUGGGGUCCACCCUUCUCUCUCCUCUCGCUGCCCCCAAGACCCUCUACGUCCGAGCCGGAGAGCUCUUGGCUCGUGCUGGGGCGCAGGGCAGGCCGAGGGCCGCUUGACUCUUGGCCGCACCCCCGAUGUUUGUUCAGGGAUGGGGAGCAAAGGGGAGGAUGGAGCAGCGAGGCCAAUGCUGGGGUGGGGUCUCCCCGAGGCUGGCGGCUGCCCCGGUGAGGGGCCAUGGGUCAUGGUGGCUCCGCAGGGUCCAUCCAGGAGGUGAGGGCUGAAGGGUUGGAGGGGGCGAGCCCGCCACAGGGAGGCAGCGUUCCCGGGGGCGCACGGAGGGUCCAGCCUGUCUCCCCUGCUUCCCAGGCCUCCCCACACCCACUGCAGUCUUGGGCCUUCCUAGGGUGACCCCUCCCCCCCAUCGCAGGGCUGUCUGUUGGGUAGCGUUUAAACCCACAGGACUCGGCCCCAUCACCACAUUCCGUGAUGGAAUCGGGAGUGGAGAAGGCCUGGUCUGCUUCUUGGCCUGGUCCUUGGGUUCCCAGGACCGGCGAUGGGCUGGGUGGCCUCAUGGAAGGUUCUUGAAUGAGGAGCCAGGACGUCUGUCCUCUGACCCAGUCUGUGCCACCAUCAUGCCACCACGAGUCCUCAUCAGCCGUUUCCCUCAUUGGGCCUUGUUCUCUCCUCUGUAAGAUGGGGCGGCAGUGACUGGAGUCCCUGUUCCGGCCCUCAUGUCCUCGGUUUCUGAGCUUCCUAGACCAUGGCUGGGGCAGAGGACAUGACAGGUGUGGGGGGCAGCCGGGAGGGGCGGGUGCUUGGGGACGGCUGCUGAGAGGAGAGGGGAUUUGAGAGCUCCUAGGAGAUUUGGUCUCCAGUCUGGGCAAAGGACGACUUAGUCCUUCCGUGCAAAGACCCCGGGGUCUGAGUGCAGAUGGACCUGGUUGGAGUCCAGCUGAUCAGAAGAGUCACUUUAACCUCCGCUGGCUGAGGCCUCUCUCUGCCGGGAGAAGUGCCAGGCGCACCCCUGCAUCCUCUCAUUCGCUCCUCUCAAUGACCCUGUGAUCUUGGUCCUGUUCUCACCUUUCUUAGAGAAGAGAAAACCGGGCCUCAGAGAGGGUAAGCGACUUGCCCAAGGUUACACAGCAGUGAGCACUGUGGCAGAGGUUUGAAGCCCCUGCCUGAACAACCGUACAAUUCUUGUGUAUUUCACUUACCAGCUCAGACUUGAAGCAUAAGGUUAAAAAUAACCUUUUAGCUGAAUCUGAAAUUCCUGA